GAUGAACGCUGGCGGCGUGCCUAAUACAUGCAAGUCGAACGAGUUCUCGUUGAUGAUCGGUGCUUGCACCGAGAUUCAACAUGGAACGAGUGGCGGACGGGUGAGUAACACGUGGGUAACCUGCCCUUAAGUGGGGGAUAACAUUUGGAAACAGAUGCUAAUACCGCAUAGAUCCAAGAACCGCAUGGUUCUUGGCUGAAAGAUGGCGUAAGCUAUCGCUUUUGGAUGGACCCGCGGCGUACUAGCUAGUUGGUGAGGUAAUGGCUCACCAAGGCGAUGAUACGUAGCCGAACUGAGAGGUUGAUCGGCCACAUUGGGACUGAGACACGGCCAAACUCCUACGGGAGGCAGCAGUAGGGAAUCUUCCACAAUGGACGCAAGUCUGAUGGAGCAACGCUGCGUGAGUGAAGAAGGCUUUCGGGUCGUAAAACUCUGUUGUUGGAGAAGAAUGGUCGGCAGAGUAACUGUUGUCGGCGUGACGGUAUCCAACCAGAAAGCCACGGCUAACUACGUGCCAGCAGCCGCGGUAAUACGUAGGUGGCAAGCGUUAUCCGGAUUUAUUGGGCGUAAAGCGAGCGCAGGCGGUUUUUUAAGUCUGAUGUGAAAGCCCUCGGCUUAACCGAGGAAGCGCAUCGGAAACUGGGAAACUUGAGUGCAGAAGAGGACAGUGGAACUCCAUGUGUAGCGGUGAAAUGCGUAGAUAUAUGGAAGAACACCAGUGGCGAAGGCGGCUGUCUGGUCUGUAACUGACGCUGAGGCUCGAAAGCAUGGGUAGCGAACAGGAUUAGAUACCCUGGUAGUCCAUGCCGUAAACGAUGAAUGCUAGGUGUUGGAGGGUUUCCGCCCUUCAGUGCCGCAGCUAACGCAUUAAGCAUUCCGCCUGGGGAGUACGACCGCAAGGUUGAAACUCAAAGGAAUUGACGGGGGCCCGCACAAGCGGUGGAGCAUGUGGUUUAAUUCGAAGCAACGCGAAGAACCUUACCAGGUCUUGACAUCUUUUGAUCACCUGAGAGAUCAGGUUUCCCCUUCGGGGGCAAAAUGACAGGUGGUGCAUGGUUGUCGUCAGCUCGUGUCGUGAGAUGUUGGGUUAAGUCCCGCAACGAGCGCAACCCUUAUGACUAGUUGCCAGCAUUUAGUUGGGCACUCUAGUAAGACUGCCGGUGACAAACCGGAGGAAGGUGGGGAUGACGUCAAAUCAUCAUGCCCCUUAUGACCUGGGCUACACACGUGCUACAAUGGAUGGUACAACGAGUUGCGAGACCGCGAGGUCAAGCUAAUCUCUUAAAGCCAUUCUCAGUUCGGACUGUAGGCUGCAACUCGCCUACACGAAGUCGGAAUCGCUAGUAAUCGCGGAUCAGCACGCCGCGGUGAAUACGUUCCCGGGCCUUGUACACACCGCCCGUCACACCAUGAGAGUUUGUAACACCCGAAGCCGGUGGCGUAACCCUUUUAGGGAGCGAGCCGUCUAAGGUGGGACAAAUGAUUAGGGUG
rnacentral:rRNA from 1 species